rnacentral:hammerhead_ribozyme from 1 species
AUCUGUAUGACGAGUCCUACAUUGGACGAUACGCGCGUCCUGGAU